GGUGACCCGGUGAGCGGGCGGCCUGACCGCGCGGGGCCGCCCUGCCGGCCCGCCCCUACCGCGGGGGGCGCGGGGAGCCCGGAUCCUUCGGCGGGGGCGGGCAGGGGGCAGCGUCCUGGGCGGCUUUGUCCGGAGGGGAGCGGGGCCAAGCUCCGUGCAGGUGGGGCUCCCGGCCGCUGUCGGAGCCGAGGCUGUGGUAGAACAGAGCAGCCCACCGUAUCGCUGCUGCUGCUGCAUUGCGAGUUACUGCAGAGACCACAGAGGGUUAAACCACAGAAUGAAGUCAGCACGAAACGGCCCACAAGGGCCGGCAGAUAAAUAACUCAUCCUCGCUAGGCUGUGAUCGUGGCUUGCGGAGCGUCAUUGUCUCGUCUCUUACCUGCAUCCUACAUUUUCCUCCUGUUCCAAUGAGGCAAUCGAGAGGCAGCGAGCGGCAAUCCGCUCCUGCCCGUUGUGGAUGUUUCUAAAAAUACUGCCUUACCUCUACGCAGCUAGAGGUCAAUUGAAAAAUCACAAUACAGAGGUAAACAAUCCCGCAGACUGCUCUGUUGAGAUUCUUUCUUGCUUUUCUUCCCGGAAGGAGAAUAAAACGAUCCGAACGUCCACGGCACGGAGCGCUCUGCGGGGCUCCCGCGGGCACCGAGCGGCACUUGUCGGCUCAGCGCUGAAAGACACAGCACAGCUCUGCCGCUGCUCUCGGGCACACAAUUAGCCUUGGUACCGCCAAGGAGGAGGUGAUGUGUUUAACGCAUUGCAGUUUGGGUACGUGUCUGUACCUGCUUCCUUUUGUCUGUAAGGAAGGUAGGCAGCCUCAUUCCUCAUCCAUCGAAUGGGAAAAGCUCUCAUCUGCCGUCUUUAGGGAAUGAAGGGAUAUAUAUAUAUAUAUACACACACACAUAUCAGCAUUAAUCUUUGAGAUGCUAUUACAGUAGAAUUCUCUGCAUACAUUUUUCAUGGCACAAAAUAAUUAUUUAAUGUUCCUCUUGUAGUGAUUUAUGAGGGCAGCAUAAAAAUAUGCAACAAAUGGAUUGAAAUUUAGAAGAGAUUCUUUCCCACUCCAUAGAAUCUUUUCCAUGGGAAUUUCAAAAUGUCUUUUUUUUUUUUUUCUUUUCCAAAUGAACAGUCAAGCUACAAUUUUCUUUAUGUUUUUUGGGAGCAAAUGGGCAUUUUUCCUUCCUUCUGAAGGUUAGGGCCCGUAACUGUGUAGCAGAAAGCCUUGCGUGUUAUUUAGGUCACCAGUCCUAUAAAGGAAGCAAAAAAACAAACAAUCGAGGUGCACAAAGGAAUAUUUAUGGAAAUAUUUCAUGUAACUUUUGAGGAAACAUGGCCAUUUCAGGAUAAUUCACUGUGGUUUGCAGACGGUUUGGAAAGGCUGGGCUUGACACAUCCAUGACAGUAGCUCAGCUCAUUCUGUGACCAGCCCUCCGAUGAUAUCAGACAUUUUUUACAGAGGCAGAAAAUGUGUCACGGAGAAUUUAAGUGGGUUGCCUGAAUCUGAUCUGCUUAGCAUGGGACUUUUAUCAUAAAGAGCAUGCUUGGAUCAUUACAGCCCUUGGUAAAAUCUGAGCGAGGCAAACGGGGUCUGAGUGCUUGCACCUUGCUGAUGGCUACCUUGGAUUUGGAUGAAGAGGCAGGACGGGAAUGACCCAAGAGAGAAGGCAGAUAGAAAGCACAUAGUCCUCUCCUACUUUGUGUGUGCUUCUAUACUGAUAUGGGUUUUGAAACAUAUCUUCUCACUGCUCUGCUACAGUGAGAAGUCCCCCAGUCCUCUUCCAACUGAGCCUAUGAGGAGUGAGUGAAAUCGGUGAUUUUUUAAUUAUUUUUUAAACUUCUUUUUUUGUUUGGUGAAACCACAGGGAGUGACAUUAGGAGACAUUUUAUGUUCAAACAUGAGGAAACCAACGUUCAGAGAAUUCCCCAGGUCUACUGAGCUCAAGGUUUUAUCACAGUCGGCCUUCACAGAACACCCCAGACUAGGUCCCGGCCUUUGGGCCCUCUGCCACCCCCGCGGUGUCAUGGGGGCCGCUUCUCGUCAUCCUCCCUAGGGAUCCUGUUUCCUGUUGCUAUGAGGUUAAGCAACAAUUUGAUUACAAGCAAUCCCCCUUUCUUUCAUCUUGUAGGUGUCACCACGGUCAAAUUGCUCUAUUGUCAGCCCAUACAGCCUCGCAAUCACCGUGUGAAACAAAACGAAAUCACCCCAUUCAUCCCCAAAGCACCAUUGCCCCUCCCUUAGGAAUGAGGCCUAUCUAUGAGGCCUAUCUAUCUGCUCCCGUUAACAUUCUUAUCAGCUCCAAAUUCUUUCUCUUGACUACUCAGGAACUCGGUAUCGUGCUUUACGCGUUUCCUGUUGUUUCCUGUUGUGAAUGCAUCUGAUAAGUCAAAGUACUUGAAGCUUUGUGCUCUUUCAUUUCCAUCACAACGUUCUGGAUUUAAUUAUUUUCUUUUGUGUUCUUCUAGUGCGUUAUCAGAAGGACCAAAGAUAACACGGAAGUAAACAAAGGAAUGUGAAAAAGAACAGCUAUUGCACAAAUGUCUUCUUCAUGUGGGGUUUAGCUGAUACAUGGCAAGUUAGCAGCUUCCUCACACUUCCUGCCAAGCCAAUCCAAACCCGAGAACAUCCGGUGGGCCUCAUGCCUCAGGCUUUCACAACAUGGCUGCUGGCUUCAGUUCCACUGAGAUGUGAGGUGGUACUUCUGAGUGACCAGUUUAUCCUGAACUCCCAUGAGAUUGUGAGCUUUGUUGCAAGACAGGUAAGACACAGGAGGAAACUGUGUGGGUCCCAUAAUGAGUGUAGUGCACGGAGUUUCUUAAGAUUAGAGUUACAGUGCAUGGAGUUUCUUAAGAUCAGAGUUACACUGUGGAAAUUCCAGCACCAUUACAGCCUGUGUUUUGAAUGACACUGGGAUGUCAGUGACAUUGUAGUGUAAGCUCUGAUGUGUCUAAUCACUGAAUGCUUGUCUGCCUCCCAACUUCAUGUGGUUUUAUUGAAGUAUGUGAUGCCCUGCAGUGAAAAGUUAGCACUCAUAAAAAGCAUCAAGGAUCCCCUUCAAAGGUAGGGUGUGUUUGUAUAAAUAAAUACAUACAUAUAUAUAUGUAUAUAUAUAUAUAAGGAACUUGCUUUAAAAGGAAUCUCUAGUCUAAAAAUAUGACUAGCUAAUACUCCAAACCAGUGUUAUACUUAUGUAAAAUAAUAAUACUUUAAAAAUGAUUGACCAACAGUAAAAUGCCUGUAAAUUCUAUUAGAAAAUCCAGUUUGUUACUUAACACUUAAUUGUUUCUUUCCUUGCCGCUCCCUGCCUCAAACAUGUUCCCAUCCAUUUUAAUUUGUUCUAGGAAGACAAACAAAAAUGCAUCUUAGAAAACUGUUUGCAGUGGAAAACAAUAGAUGCAAAAGCAUGAGAAAUUUAAUCAGAUUUAAUUAAGAAGUCUAAUGUCAAGGUAGUGUUAGUGUAGGUGCUUUAUUUUUUGACCCCUCUCUUUUCCUGUUUUCUAAAUUAGUUUAGAAAACGUCCAUGAAACAUUAAGUUGGCAGAAAAGUAAAGCUAAGAUGUGGUACGUCUCUUAAGUUUCUAUUGCCAGAAAAUUCAGAAAAUGAGCUGCAGUGUUACCAAGGCACUUUUGGUGAGUGUAGGUUUUCACUGUUGAUAUGGCACAAGACAGGUAAAAACACAAAUCAUUUUUAUCUUUCACUCACUUUUUUUUGCUAGUAGUUGAGCGGUAGAUGUUUUUAAUAGUGUACUACAACUGGUCUAUCUUCUCCUUCAAUGCAUUCUGCUUUAUUUUACUUCUUCAUUUGUUUUAUGGUCGAGGCUAUUCAAAAGUGAGUAAAAGAAUAUGAGAGGAGUCAAUGAGUAUAUAUCUCAUAGCUGUAACAGAUGAGGUUUUUAUUAGUUUGCAAGCUGUAAGUAGAAACGUGUAUGUAGAUUAAGUUAAACUUCUGCAUGCCUUUGCAGGUUUAGAACACAAAUUGCCUAAAGGAACUCGUGAAAAGGAAAUAUACUGCUCGAAUUGUAUGAGGGAGUUUCUCUAUCUCUCUGAGUGUAGUCCUUGUUUUCCAUUUGCAAUAUUAAAAAGCAUUUGCUGGAACUCCAGCCUGUUCCCUUGAAAAUUUAAACAUGUGCACUUACUUAUUUUCUGCUGUGAGGAGACUAAGAAUGGGUUUUUUUCUUGAUAUAUUUCAACAUUAUUGCACUCCUGAAAUACAUCAAGGAAUAUCUGUUCUGAAGACUCAAAGCGUGUGUCAUUUUCAGCAGGGUUACAAUAAUCAGAAAGUAUUCCCACAAUAGAAAUCACCAAUUUAUUUUGUUGUUUGGCCUUUCAGCUUUUACCUGUGGCAGCUAUGGGGAAAAGAUCAACUACUGUGCUAGUUCACCCCUUUCAGGAAGUGAAAGCAGGAGGGAAAAAGAAAAGUUAGUCUUGGUUCUACACAUCCCUACCACUGUGUACAUGUUGGCUUACUACAGUCGAAAGAUAUUUAUAAACUCCUGAGAGUAAAGAGAAAUCAGAGGGGAAUGGAUCUCAAGCACGAGCCUUUAUGUGAAUGAAUUGUAGGUGUUCAUCACAGGCUGGUGCAUCCAUCUUCUUUUUUCAGGGCUGUCUUCAGACAUAAUCACCCUAUAGGAAUAACAAAUUAAUUGAACAAAAACCUAGAAAUAAUGGAUCUUGUAAACCGGAUUCACCUACUUUCCAAUUCCUUUUAUCUGUAUUUUGAACCAUUAGCGAUAUAAGGUAUAAUAAACCAAAAUUUAUUUAAUUUAUGAUUCAUAUAUUUUUACUGGUUUUGGACAAAUCUUGCAUUUUUAUUCCUGGAUUUGCAUAAAUAUCAAUAGUCAAUUUCCUUUUGGCUUUAGUCAAGGAGUCAUUUUAUUGUUUUUGUUUUUAAACAUGACUCAUGAGGUUUCUCUACACUUCUUAUACAAUACUUCUUCCUUCCUGAUAGUGUCUAUUUGUUCUCUAUUUUUGAAUUGCUUCUCUAUUGUUAUCUCUAGAUUGUGUAUGUACAUACCGUAUGUAUGUACAUGUAGUUGAGGACUGCAGGAUCUAUCUAUUUAAUACAACUAUUUUAGAAUAGUUAAGAGAUUUUGCUAUUUAUUUAAUGUCUUUUUUUUUUUUUUUUUUUUUAAAUACAGGAGAAAUAAAAUGUAGUUCGUGUUUUCAUUAUAUUAUUCUACAGUGUGCCUAGGGUAUGAUACAUGCAAUGCAUUAAGUAUUAUUUAUCUGAUUGCAAAGCCAAAAAUAAGUUUAAAAUAUAAUUAGGUUUGCCUGUCGAGGGAGAAUUUUCAUGUUAUGAAAAAUCAAAUGCAAGUGGUUGGAGGAAAUACUUGUGUAAUCUGUGAAGGACGUUGAAGGUUCAUGUGAAUACAGAUGAGCUAGAGUUAUGUUCAUGGACAUUUAUAAGACAGUGUGAUAAAUUUUUAUUGUGGCUAAAAAGGGGACAGCCUUCUAAUAGGCUGUCAGUACAGCAACUCUGAGAAUAACUGAUUCACCAAGUACUAGAAAAUACUGGCUUAGUAGAUGCAUGGAUAAAAGGUUUUUCUUGCAGAAUAGUGAGUCAAGCUUCUAACAGUCUGAAGGAAACAGCUGGGAGAAAGGCUUGCAGUGUUCAAGACAACUGUUUUCUUGGGUGAUGUCCCUUGGAGAAGGAAAAAGUAGAAGAAAAGAUUGUUGCCUCUGAAGAACUGAAUGGGAAAUUGCCUUCCAUAGCCAUUGUAAACCUCUGCAGGAUAACUUUCAGUUCAGGAGAGGCAGAAUGAAUGCUGAGAUCAAACAGCUGUCUAGAAUGAAAAUGUUGAAAUAUUGUGAAGAUCAGCAAGACCUUCCUUGCGCAUUUGCAUUCCCAAAUCAGGCCUAGAUCCUUUCUCACAGUCAUUACAACAGGGUGAGCAACCCACUGCUGCUGCUGGCUAUUGCACAAGGCACGGCAGCUGUUCCUCUAACGCCUGGGUCAGAUCUUGCUGGGUACAGUGGAAAGUGAGGAGCUGUCACUUACUUUCCCACACUUCUUCUAAUGAAGGAACAAGAGAGAGAAUUAAAUCAGCACUUCUUCUGUUGUCAGUGAUUUCAGAACUUGUGGGAACAGAAACAAUGAAAUCUGCCAAAUCAGCAGUUCAACAAGUGAAGGUUGUGCAGCAAUGAAGUCUGCGUGUUGCUACAUCAGCCAACUGCAUGCAGAGUGGGUGAGAGUGUACAACUACACUGCAGAUAUCUGCUAUGACUUAAGAUGGCACCCAAAAAGUGUGACAGACAGUGAGUGCAUGGUGACUCCGCCCUGCUCUUUCCAGGAGUCAGCUGCUCAGAGCUCUUCCUGCUUCCACUCUUGCCUAUUGGUAAUUCUGGCACUCCAAGUGCCACCUGCAGUACCAACCACUUCUAUCCUACAUCACUGCUAUACUGUGCAUACUCACCUCUUACCUAUGAAAAGCAGACAUCAUCCGUUUACUGAAACUGAUUGAAUCAGAUGUGGUCUGAAGUUAAAGAGAACCAUUCAGAUGCUGUAGCCAUAGUGCCUUGAUCACUCUGCUAUUUGGAUGGCAUGCAGACGGAGGAGGCUGUCUGCUCUCUGCAUGCUGCUGGACUGGAUUCACAGCAGGGUCCCUGUGCUGGUGUUGAUGGCUACCUGAACCAACUCAAGACAUUUCAGGUGCAUCAAGCAUGGCAUUGCUAAGUGGUUGACAUCUUGAGCUGUUCAGAUGUGUCUGCUACCUUUAAACAUGCAAACAGAAAUUCUUCAACAAUUCAAUUGGGAACGGAGCCAAAAAGGAAUGUGACCACUCAUGCUUAAAGUCCAGAGGAACAAAGAAAUGCUGUGAUAGGUUAUCACUGGGCUGGGUUAAUGACUGCAAUGGCCAGAAGACUGCUUGAGCAAAGAUCUGAUGAACACACGGUCUGCAGAAAUGAGACAGACAACACACCUCUUUCAGAGACCUUACAUUUGAACCACAUAAUCUGCUUUGACUUUGCAAGGACUUUUACGAUUGUUGGCCUACAGAAAGUGCUCUACAGUUCUUGGAUCUGCCCCAGUGCAUCAUCAGCACAUCAGCACAGCUUGAGGAAACAGAAGCUUGGGUUUCACUUAGCUUGAAUGCUUACUUCCAUGGUUUCCAAGGAGAGCUAAAGUUCAAAGGGCAGAAGUUAUCUGCUUAUAUAAAUCUUCUAUGAAGUAAAUCACAUCCAUCAAACAGGAGCUCUUCAGACACUGGUACAAAGCUGACAUUUAUUUUGCUAUCACAAGGAUAAUGCUAAUUAACAAGCAGCUAAACCCAUUUGAGAAGAAAAAACAUAGUUCUCUGCCAUAAUGCAGUAGGCUAUUAUCCAAUUAAAAAUGGUCUGAUAAAAACACUUUUUAACAUUUGUUACAUUUUUUGCCUGUUUGUAAUCCAGCCAAAAAAUUCUAUCGUUUUCUGAAUGCAAGCAAGAUGUAACUAACUGUUGCCAUACCAGUAACUAGGAAGAAAAAGAACCUCCUCCACAUGGACUACCCACGCAGAUCUGAUGGGGACAGUUUGUGAAAUGCCUCGGGAAUAAAAUGAUGUGGUGGCUGAUGGUGUGCACACAGCUGCUGCAGUAGGGUCUGGCCAUAGACUUACAUGUUAUUUGUGUGUGUGUAUAAACUGUGAUUCACUAGGGCACUACACUGUAUCUACUUGUGUUCUGAAUCACAGAUCUCAUUUAAGAUGCUGGUUAUUCUUUUUUCCCUCAGUAUCUCAAAUUGUACCUGUGUCAGAGCAGCUGUGGGCCCUGAUUGUGGCUGUAGCUCUCUAAUACAACAGGACACCUUAAUUGAUCACCACAGCAGAUAAAGAGCUGAGAUUUUUCUUAUCUCUUUUGCACUAACUUGAGGACAUUUUAGUCAGUGGCUCCGGCAACUUGUCAUGAAGAAGACUGCAAAUGGCAUCUUAUGUCAGGUUUGAUAAAACUUUGGCUAAAACUUCAAUUCAAAUGAGUCAGAUCUUUCCAUGGAAAAUCUGUCAGUUUAGGGCUUUUUUUUUUUUUUUUCCUGAGGUCAUGAACUUUGAAGGAUUGAGGCUGUCAGUAGGUCUGUCCUUCUGGAAAAGAAAAGCAUUGUUUAACUAAGUUUGCAGCUCUGCUUUAUGACAGAGAUGUACCACUUUGAUUUUACCAGGGCUUCCAAAGAUGUACCUGAUGAUUAAAUGAGCCUUCUAUUAACUAAAUGUAAAGAUUUUCAGGUAUCAUUUGCAGCAUUAUUUGUUCAGAAAGUUUAUUCAGAAAGUAACCUCAUCUGUAAUUCUAAUUUCCAGUUAAAAGUCUCAGUGCAGAACCCUUGCUAUUAGCAGAUCGAGCAGUAGAAAGGUAUCAGUCUCUGUUGUUACUUGAUAUAGUGGUCACAGAUACAUGCAUAGCAACUCUCUGCAGAGGUUAAGGGGAAAAUACUAUCAAUUGUAAGCUCUCUAUGUCCUAAAUACUGUGCUUUCAGUAAGGUUCGUGUUGGCCUUCAUAUAAGAUGGAAAUUUCAGCUCCACUGGAGCUAGCAUCUUGCAUUUUGACAAGGUCUCCUAAAUUAUGAAGACGUGGACAUUAGGGACCAGGAGCUGUGGAAACUCCUCCCACGGUAUUCUGGAAUGAAUCAGGAUCUCUGAAUGCACUGCCUCUUCUAUUUUCUGCACCACAGAUGGCUACAUAAUGUACAUGUCUGUUCUCCUAAUGGUGUCCACAAUUGUGCUGGUUGAAGUACAAUCUAAUCUCAAACAAACUUUGCACAGUUAAUAAAAGAUUCAUGUCUUUCCAGUUAUGAUAACCAGACAUUAUUGCCAACACAUAGCUAUUUCCCUUUAAAAAAGGGAACUUCAUAAUGGGUUCUUAAUGAUCCCUCAAGUCCUAGUCUUGGUGUUGUAUAAUGUACUUUAAUACUCCUUCAUACUGACUUUCUGUUUACUUAAUAGAAAGCUGUUUAGCUUUUAGAACUUUACAGAUUUUGGCACACUAAAAUAAACCAACCAGCUUUAUUAAAUUCAUAAUUGAAGGAAAUCACUGUAAGCCUAAUAAGAUUUAUGUGUUUCCAUGCAGUGUCGGCAGGGAGUCAGAUUAAAUCAGUGCUGAAGGUCUCAGCUGUAUUUGAACCCUUGAUCAAGCUACUAAUGUUUCAGUUCACAAAGUAUGACAAAAUGAUUAAAUGAUUUAAAUAGCCCCGUGCUUUUUGAGACAGCUGAUAUCACUAACACAAUUAUAUUUUGCAGUCAAAAUGCAGAUUUCUUAUAGUCAUGUUAACAAAAUGUGAUUUGUCAAGUUUUCUCAGUAGGGUGGUUUAAUGAAAAUAAUCAUUUGCUUUGUUUCUUUUGUUUAACAAGGUUGCCUGUUAUACAAAUUGACUAUUACUAAAAACAUAAUAUCUAGUAUUUACACAAAGCUGUCUCCAAAGCAUAUUACACAGGCUGCUCUGAAAGUAAUGCCUCCUAUUUAUUUCCAUGAAAACUACAACAAAUACAAAGAACACAAUAGCACUGUUUGAUAGAGCAAAACACUAUUUCUCAACAUAGUUCACUACCAUUAACUGUGCAUUUUCACCAGGGAAGAACAAGAGUCUGCAUGCUGUGCUCAUAACAAUGUGCACCAGUGGAGCUGACCACUAUUGUUGUCUGCCUCUGACAUCGUAGGCCAGCAUAAAAAAAUAGGAGGCAUUACUUUCAGAGCAGCCCUUGUAAUAAAGAAAUAUGUGUUAUUAUCCACAGAUAUGGCAUGCAGUAUUUUUAAUGUUACAAUUAUUGGAUGACAUCCCAGGAUUUCAACACCUGUGCUGACUCAGAACCACUUCUGAUUCAUUACCUCUCAAGGUCUUAUUCCUUAAGUGAAGUUAAAAUCCAUCUAAAAUGAAGGAGUCAUUUAAUCUGUGCUGACUGAUUGGAAGAAUUUUCCUGUAUGAUUGCAAGAUAACGCAGCAUUAGUCAGCAAGCUUUCAUGAAGGAAGUCCCAAAUCUGCCCUUGAAUGUCUACCAACUGGCUCUACGUGUCUCAUUCCAAGAUUAGAUCAACACGGUACCAGUGCUCUUAGUGCCUGUUGCUAAUGCAUAGCAUUCAUGACACUUGUAGGCAAGGAUGAAUAUUUCAAAUUUUCAAGUCCACCACCUGGAUAUAGAAAUGUAUUUUCAUUUUAAUUGAAUGAAAUGUACCUUCAGUCUUCCAUUUUGUUACUAAGUUUGGAUUUGGGGCCUUGUACAACUCUGCCUUCUGAAGCUAUCCAGGGACAUGAAGUAAAUACUGAGAAUCUUUUUUAUGAGUUACUUGGGAUAAAAACAUUUAAACCAUUCAAAGUAUGGUUCUGAUAAAACAUACUUGGAGAGCUAAGAAGAUAAACAUACCUUUAAUUUCGAUGUCUGCAAUUACAGGCUGUAAUUCCUGCAAGUCAGACUGGGAGCCACAAACAGAAGAUUAUUGAUCUGUUUGUAAUCAGGUCAAGAGAAAAUCCAAGCACUAAGGAAGAUGAUGGAUACUGAGAGUUAAGAAUUCAGUGGAUCUUUUUCCAUACUCAGUUCAUUUCUAAACCAUGCCCUUCUUCUUCUGUGAGUGAAGUGGUAUUUGCUGGCUUUGUAGGUUAGCAGUGCUGUGCAGCUGGUUCCAAAAUCCAUUUGGUAUUGUCAAAUAGUGACAAUAAUGUGGUGCUCCCUGAGACAGUGAAAACUGUCAGUAAGUAGUUUAUGUACAUUUUAUUAUCGUGUGGGAACCUCUGAGAAAUUCUAGACAGUGUCCUGUACUGUGUUUCAUGCACACAUAUCAUACAUUUAUACUAGAAAAUAGUCUAGUAUUGUCUGUACAGUGCUGGAUUUUUUCUGUAGUAAAGGAGAUAAUGGAAACUGUUUCCUGGCUUUUCAUCCUGAGUAAAGGGAACCCUUACACCCUGCCCAGAAGUGUGGAUCUGAUGGGUAGGAAAUAUCACAGAUUGGCCUUUUACUGGGAUAGAUCAAAUAUAUGGGAGAGACUUAGGCUUACCAGAUUAAGAGUUAUCUUUGUUGAUAAUGUCAUAGAAUUGUAUGAUCUGUAAUCACACUACAUUUUGAUAGCCUGUAUUUUCUUUUUGCGCUCAGUGUUAGCUGAGAUCUCUCCUUGUAAUGUUUAGAGUCACUGAAAGAUCUUAAAAUUAUAGUGAUGCCCAGAUGGACAAACUGAUUCUUCAUCAUAAAUCUUUCAGAGCUGAGUGGUCAAGGAUUCUCUAAUGAAGCUAAACAUUGUUGGAUGACAUCGAUGCCAAUGUCAUUCUCUACUGGUAUAUGCUAAUUUACUCUGGCUGUGUAAUGUUAUCAGUCUACUGUACUUUGAGAACUUUGAUAUAUAGUGAUAAGAAGUUUCUGUUCUUUACCUCAGUCAGAUAAAAGUAAUGGCAGUCCUAAAUAGAAGUAUACCCUCAACUUUCAAAUUUUGAGGGUGUGCAGUUUGGUCUUGAUUAAUGUUGUCUGGAAAAAUUCCAAGUAAUGCAGUGAUUAAAACAAGAAAACAAAAACAUAUAUCGUAGGUAUAGUUGAGUGAGCACUGACUGAUAAAGUGCAGCUUCCUAGCAAUAAGUUCUGAAUGGUUCAGGAGUUUUAAUUGCAGUACAAAAAUGUCCUACAGGAAAGGCAAACUUACAUGAGUGAUUUUAUUCUAAAUGUAGGAAGCAGUUGUAUAAAUGCAUACUUAUAUGCAAAUACAUAUCUAUACUUCUAUACAUAUAACAAAUACUCAGUGUUGCUGAAUAAGUGCAAGGGUAAUGAUAUAAAUUUUGAGAACAAAUUCUCUCUUUCUGGGAGUAAAUCAACUCAGGAGUAUUUUGAGUGGUUGGAGCUUUCCAGCAUUGCUGUAUGCUACAGACCACAAAAUAAGAUGUUGAUGCGCCUAUUUUGUUACAGGUUGUGAAAUAUCGUGCUGUCUGUACAGGAAUUCCACUUCUCUGUAAAUGAAUUUCCUAUCAGCACAAAUGCCUUUUCAAGAUCAGUACUCUUGGCUAAGGCUCUGCAGCGACCAGCCAAACUCAUACAAGUGAGAUAAGACAAUUUCUGAGUGGCAGGUGUCAGCAGCAUAGGCAGCUGUUUGUGACUGACAUGGGAAGAGCAGGCUGGCCGCCAAGACCUCUGAGCAGUGAUGUGCUGGAGAUAUGUGUGAAACACUGACUGUGCUUCAGCUGCAGGUCUGUUCUGACCUGCUUUGUGCACACAUAUGGAAUGAAUCUGCAAACACCAGUGUUAAAGCUGGAGCAAUGUGAGACUGAGAAGCACAUGUGCGCCCACAGCGCUGAGCUCUCUUGGGUAACUUGAAUGGACUCCAACGCGAGAGGAACUCAUGUCUGCUGUGAUAAAAGUGCCAAAUGAUAAGGGCUAGACUGAUAAAUGAUGGCACAAAGGUGAAAGACGGGCUCUGACAUACUUGUGGCUAGAUCUCUCCAUAAGCAUGAGAAUUCAGUGAUUCUCACAAAUAUAAAAAGAGGAGUCAGAGGCUGAUGACAUUCCUCCAUUUUGCUCUCUUCAGAUAUCACAUAGAUGCUUAGAUUCAGCAGUCCAAUUUUCCAGAUGCUAACUGGUAAUUUACAGAGAGGGAGAAAACUGCCGUGGCCAUCAAAUAAACAGCAGUGACACAGAUUCUAAUGUUGCCAGACCUAAGCUUAUCUCUGGGACGUGCAAACUACUGAGCAGUACAUGUACUUCCCAGCUAUGUAGGAGAGGAGAUGUGUGUUCCCCUGGACUCUUCUCUGCUACCCAGUCUCGGCGAUCACUAUUCUGCUUUCUGACACCCCAAGGGUUUGAGAUUUUCAUGUCUCAAUGUGCUGCUUUUGUGUGUGCAGUACUGACAGCAGUGGAUGAAAUGUCUUUUUUAAUAGGUCAUUGUGUUUGUUUAUGCAAUAUAAUAUCUGUAGGAGACUGCUCUGAAUGUUUAUUUUUUUUCUACUGUGAAAGAACAAAUAUCAUUAUUUACCAGCACACAUUGUUGGACCAGCAUUAGUGAAAUAUAUACAUUAAUAAUCUUGUCCCCAGAUCCAGACAAUCUUAUACUUCUUUUGUUUCUGCCCUAAUGCAGAGUUAUAUAUACCUCUAUACCUCUGCAAAACCAAGAAAGGAAUCUUUGCAUAACGGUGUUCACCUCCUCCCAGGAGUAUUGCAUAUGGUCCCUCUUGAGCAGCCUCUCCAAGUGAGCUUGGAGUUGUUUGUAAAAGUUCCAUUCAGGAUGUACCUGUAAGUGGCCAAUUAUUCUUUGGGGCUCAUCAUCCCAUGCUUCUGAAAACACUUCAUUUAUUUUCUAACAAUAGUAAUAUCACUGUGUAAUAGGCCUGCUGUUACAUCUCAUCUGUUGGAAUUAGA